GGUCAGCGGCGGACGGGUGAGUAACACGUGGGCAACCUGCCCGCAAGACCGGGAUAACUCCGGGAAACCGGAGCUAAUACCGGAUAACACCGAAGKCCGCAUGGUCUUCGGUUGAAAGGCGGCCUUUGGGCUGUCACUUGCGGAUGGGCCCGCGGCGCAUUAGCUAGUUGGUGAGGUAACGGCUCACCAAGGCGACGAUGCGUAGCCGGCCUGAGAGGGUGACCGGCCACACUGGGACUGAGACACGGCCCAGACUCCUACGGGAGGCAGCAGUAGGGAAUCUUCCGCAAUGGGCGAAAGCCUGACGGAGCGACGCCGCGUGAGCGAAGAAGGCCUUCGGGUCGUAAAGCUCUGUUGUGAGGGACGAAGGAGCGCCGUUCGAAGAGGGCGGCGCGGUGACGGUACCUCACGAGAAAGCCCCGGCUAACUACGUGCCAGCAGCCGCGGUAAUACGUAGGGGGCGAGCGUUGUCCGGAAUUAUUGGGCGUAAAGCGCGCGCAGGCGGUCUCUUAAGUCUGAUGUGAAAGCCCACGGCUCAACCGUGGAGGGUCAUUGGAAACUGGGGGACUUGAGGGCAGGAGAGGAGAGCGGAAUUCCACGUGUAGCGGUGAAAUGCGUAGAGAUGUGGAGGAACACCAGUGGCGAAGGCGGCUCUCUGGCCUGYACCUGACGCUGAGGCGCGA
rnacentral:rRNA from 1 species